UAAAAUAAGAUAUAAACUUUCUUUAUUUAUUUCUUCAAAUGUUCAUGUCGUUCCAAAAGACUUCAUUCCCUUUCACUCCAAACUUGUCAACAGAUACUAAAGUGUCAAAACCAAAUAAAAUUUCACACAAAAAGAAGAAUAUAUAGAGGUAAAAAAUGUAUUAAAAAGAAGAGAGUUACAUGCAUGUUAUACGGAAAAUAGUUCAUGAGAAGCAAUCAAGGCCUUUGAAAUCUCAUAUAUGAGCCUAGUCUGAAACACAUCACCAGCAAAAUCCUCAGAAACUUGAGGAGCCUUUUGAAUCUGUUUCCCACCAGAGGUACUAUCAUCGGUGUUCAAGGAUUUUUAACAUAAACGUCAUGUAAGCUUUCUUAAAAUUUGUCAACACUUUCAACGGUGAUUUAAUCAUCCAUCUAAGCUUUGGGAUUGUUCUGAUUCUCCAAAACUUACGUGUGCUCCUUUUAAACUUUAUGAUCUUAAAUUUCUUUCCACUUUCUUCGAGGUUCUUGUAGUGCUUUCUUCUCAAGUAUUGCUUAAUGCCACAAACGUUAGUUGGGUUAGGAAGUAAUGAUUCUGUUUCCAUGUGUGAAAGAAGUUUGAGUUGUGGAGGAAGAUGUCAAUUAAGCUUAUAUUUUUAUGGAAAUCGAAUAGGCAUUAUUUGGCUGGAAAGGAAUUCAUUUUCCAUUGAGAAAGAAAGUCAGAAAAAUAAUAUUUUACUUAAGACGCCCUGUAAAUGAACUGACUUUAGUUCAUAUGUCUUGAUUGUUUCCUCAAAAUAAGGAUUCUAGGUCCUAUUUGUUUUUAUUUUGAAUAUGAUUAAUUUAUUAAGAAUAUAAUAAUUUUAAAAGUAUUGUUUCUUUU
rnacentral:lncRNA from 1 species